UACGUAGGGUGCGAGCGUUGUCCGGAAUUAUUGGGCGUAAAGAGCUCGUAGGCGGUUUGUCGCGUCGACUGUGAAAACUGGGGGCUUAACUCUCAGCUUGCAGUUGAUACGGGCGAGACUUGAGUUCGGUAGGGGAGACUGGAAUUCCUGGUGUAGCGGUGAAAUGCGCAGAUAUCAGGAGGAACACCGGUGGCGAAGGCGGGUCUCUGGGCCGAUACUGACGCUGAGGAGCGAAAGCGUGGGGAGCGAACAGG
rnacentral:rRNA from 1 species